UACGUAGGGUGCAAGCGUUGUCCGGAAUUAUUGGGCGUAAAGAGCGUGUAGGCGGCCAGGCAGGUCCGCUGUGAAAACUCCAGGCUCAACCUCGAGAGGUCGGUGGAAACCGUCUGGCUAGAGUCCGGAAGAGGAGAGUGGAAUUCCCGGUGUAGCGGUGAAAUGCGCAGAUAUCGGGAAGAACACCCGUGGCGAAGGCGGCUCGCUGGGACGGUACUGAUGCUGAGACGCGAAAGCUAGGGGAGCGAACAGG
rnacentral:rRNA from 1 species